GGAUGUGAGGGCAAUCUGGAUAUCACCCCAUUCAUCUCCAGGGUUGAUUCAGCUGAUCUGGAUGGCUAGGGAAAUAUCCCCUUCCUUCCUACUGCUCUAUGUGCAUACCUCCUGAAGCUGCGAGCUCAGUGGAAAAGAACAGCUUUCCCUAAAUAGAGAUGUGCCUGUCUUUAUUUGAGGCUAUGUGAGUAGCUGGGAUCUCCUGCUAGAACUUCCCUACAAACUCUCAAGAUUAAAGAAUCAGUGAUCAUUUUGCCAAAGAAAUACAAAGUAU
ensembl:misc_RNA 7SK 7SK RNA